rnacentral:lncRNA from 1 species
UAUGUAAAUAGUGGGCUAUGAUAAUUAAGUGUAUUGAUGAAUGACAUCGGACAUGGAGAGAUAACUGUCCAAUUAUUGAAUUGAUGUUAUACUAAUGAAUUAGAUAAGUAAGGUUGGAUCUAGUACUGUUAUUGUAUGGAUAUUAAGAAAAGAAUCAAUUACAGAAACGUGAAGAGUAUAAAUUAGUAUGAUUUAAAUGAGGAUAGUCAGUAUUUAGAGUUUUAACAAAUUAGGGAUCAUGGGUAACAAGAUUUGAGAAAAAUAGGAAUAGUGAUACCUCAGCAGCUUUAAGAUAAAGACUUCUAUACUUUGGGAAUUCAUGAGUAUAUUAGACGGGAUAUAAGUAAG